rnacentral:ncRNA from 2 species
AAAUGCAGAAGAGGAGCAUUGCCCAGGUAGGUAGUUUGUGGAGCCCCACUCCAAGACAAAUUACUCAGGGGGAGCAGUGCCGAGGUGUUGAUUUUGGGGAAAGUCGAUAUCGGGUGUUUAGGUUGAAUCCUAGCAACUGUCGCUCGACCUAAAGAGCGAUGAGCUUCUAAGAAU